rnacentral:rRNA from 1 species
UGCCGCGUGAGUGAUGAAGGCCUUAGGGUUGUAAAGCUCUUUUACCUGGGAAGAUAAUGACGGUACCAGGAGAAUAAGCCCCGGCUAACUUCGUGC